rnacentral:lncRNA from 1 species
UCCCAGAAUAAAACCAAUGGGCACCACAUUCCUGGGGCCUCCCCUCCGUCCCCAGCCAUUCCUCCAGGAGAAACCCUGGAAUGCUAGCACUUCACCCAGAGACCUCACUUGAUUUCCAGAUUUCCAGUGGGGAACAGGGAGCUGGGACAUGGGAGAAAGGCUGUGACGUCACUCUGGGGCAGAGCAGUGGAGAUAUGUUGCUGAAAAGCCAUGCCUCCUUUUCCUGAUGAUCUUCCAAACCUCCUGUGCUGCGAGUCAAUGAUGAAAUAACUGUCGUCUGCAUAAAGCUUUUAGUGCUGAACAUGAAAAAGUUCUCUGGGCUGCCAGCAGGUGGGAUCCAUGGUCAAACAGGACCUAUCAGCUUGCACCUGGGUUUGCAAGGGAGGGAUGUGUUGCAGCUUCUGUGGUUCCUAGGAAUUCCUCCUCCUGGAUGGGCUCAACUCUGGACCCCAUUUCUGGCACCUGGAGAGAGGCAGUGUCUCUGCUUGGGAUACAAAGAGAUGGAGAGAUGUGAGUGCUGGUUCUCGGACAAAACGGGCAGCAAGACUUUGCUCCUUAUGGCAGUCAUCAACCACUUCUACUCUCUUCUCCCUCACCACCAGGAAGCCAGAUUGAGCCCCUGAGGCUCAGAGACUUUGCACAAAGCAGCUGGGACUACCUCACCCAGGCAAAACCUGGAAAUGUCUUGGGUCUCUUCCCUCUGUUUUAUUUUUCCAGUGUCAGCCAGCAGCCAUGGUGGACACUGGUUUACACUGCAACUGGGAGCUGGGAUUACUCUGCUUUUAGGAGGUCCAAUUGGUUCGUAGUCUACUUGCAAAUUUUAUGAGGAAGUGAGUUUGGAGAUUAAGGUCUAACAAUGCUGUGGCUGGGAAAGGGAGGCAAUCUGGAAAAUGCUUUUCAUUUCUGACCUUCAGAUCUACUCUGCACUGAGUAUGGGUUUUCCCACGGUAGCUGGGUGAGUGCCUUCACCUUGCCACUGCUGCACAUAGUUUGGGGCUAUGGAGAAAACUCUUCCAAUCUACCCAAGCAAUCCUUAGGAGACCUGGGAAGAAACCAGGUUACCUUCGCUCUGCAGUCAGGACUUUGCUCGUCAUUAGAGUAAGUGAAAGUACUUCCCUCCUUGGUAUCAUAAAUAAAUCAUUAAAUCCAAGCUCGGAGGGAGGAAGC